rnacentral:rRNA from 1 species
AGAGUUUGAUCCUGGCUCAGGAUGAACGCUGGCGGUCUGCUUAACACAUGCAAGUCGAACGCAGUACUUCGGUACUGAGUGGCGGACGGGUGAGUAACGCGUGAGAAUCUGCCUAGAGGUCGGGGACAACCAUUGGAAACGAUGGCUAAUACCGGAUAUGCCUUACGGGGUGAAAGAUUAAUCGCCUUUAGAAGAGCUCGCGUCUGAUUAGCUAGUUGGUGAGGUAAAAGCUCACCAAGGCAGCGAUCAGUAGCUGGUCUGAGAGGAUGACCAGCCACACUGGGACUGAGACACGGCCCAGACUCCUACGGGAGGCAGCAGUGGGGAAUUUUCCGCAAUGGGCGAAAGCCUGACGGAGCAAGACCGCGUGAGGGAGGAAGGCUCUUGGGUUGUAAACCUCUUUUGUCAGGGAAGAACACAAUGACGGUACCUGACGAAUCAGCAUCGGCUAACUCCGUGCCAGCAGCCGCGGUAAUACGGAGGAUGCAAGCGUUAUCCGGAAUUAUUGGGCGUAAAGCGUCCGCAGGUGGCUUAUCAAGUCUGCGGUCAAAGACCGGGGCUUAACCCUGGAAAGGCCGUGGAAACUGAUAAAGCUAGAGUACCGUAGGGGUAGAGGGAAUUCCCGGUGUAGCGGUGAAAUGCGUAGAGAUCGGGAAGAACAUCGGUGGCGAAAGCGCUCUACUGGACGGUGACUGACACUCAGGGACGAAAGCUAGGGGAGCGAAUGGGAUUAGAUACCCCCGUAGUCC